UGGACCUUGCGUUGAGACAAUGUUCGAGCAUGGGCCUCCCUUCUCGGGA
rnacentral:rRNA from 2 species